AGCUCCAAUAGCGUAUAUUAAAGUUGUUGCAGUUAAAAAGCUCGUAGUUGAACCUUGGGCCUGGCUAGCCGGUCCGCCUCACCGCGUGUACUGGUCCGGCUGGGCCUUUCCUUCUGGGGAUCCGCAUGCCCUUCACUGGGUGUGUCGGGGAACCAGGACUUUUACUUUGAAAAAAUUAGAGUGUUCAAAGCAGGCAUUUGCUCGAAUACAUUAGCAUGGAAUAAUAGAAUAGGACGUGCGGUUCUAUUUUGUUGGUUUCUAGGACCGUCGUAAUGAUUAAUAGGGAUAGUCGGGGGCAUCAGUAUUCAAUUGUCAGAGGUGAAAUUCUUGGAUUUAUUGAAGACUAACUACUGCGAAAGCAUUUGCCAAGGAUGUUUUCA
rnacentral:rRNA from 1 species